AUUGAACGCUGGCGGCAUGCCUUACACAUGCAAGUCGAACGGCAGCGCGGACUUCGGUCUGGCGUCGAGUUGCGAACGGGUGAGUAAUACAUCGGAACGUACCCUGUUGUGGGGGAUAACUAGUCGAAAGAUUAGCUAAUACCGCAUACGACCUGAGGGUGAAAGUGGAGGACCGCAAGUCCUCACGCAGCCGGAGCGGCCGAUGGCUGAUUAGCUAGUUGGUGGGGUAAAGGCCCACCAAGGCGACGAUCAGUAGCUAGUCUGAGAGGACGAUCAGCCACACUGGGACUGAGACACGGCCCAGACUCCUACGGGAGGCAGCAGUGGGGAAUUUUGGACAAUGGGGGCAACCCUGAUCCAGCAAUGCCGCGUGUGUGAAGAAGGCCUUCGGGUUGUAAAGCACUUUUGUCCGGAAAGAAAUCGCGCUGGUUAAUACCUGGCGUGGAUGACGGUACCGGAAGAAUAAGCACCGGCUAACUACGUG
rnacentral:rRNA from 1 species